CAAGCGUUAUCCGGAUUUACUGGGUGUAAAGGGCGUGUAGGCGGGGAAGCAAGUCAGAUGUGAAAACCACGGGCUCAACCUGUGGCCUGCAUUUGAAACUGUUGAACUAGAUUGCAGGAGAGGUAAGUGGAAUUCCUAGUGUAGCGGUGAAAUGCGUAGAUAUUAGGAGGAACACCAGUGGCGAAGGCGGCUUACUGGACUGUAAAUGACGCUGAGGCUCGAAAGCGUGGGGAGCAAACAGG
rnacentral:rRNA from 1 species